rnacentral:rRNA from 1 species
AGAUACCCGUGUAGUCCCAGCCGUAAACUAUGCGCGUUAGGUGUAUCGGUGACCACGAGUCACCGAGGUGCCGAAGGGAAACCGUGAAACGUGCCGCCUGGGAAGUACGGUCGCAAGGCUGAAACUUAAAGGAAUUGGCGGGGAGCACCACAACGGGUGGAGCCUGCGGUUUAAUUGGACUCAACGCCGGGAAGCUCACCGGAUAAGACAGCGGAAUGAUUGCCGGGCUGAAGACUCUGCAUGACUAGCUG